GUGGAUCUUCCUGGCAUAACCCAGGAGCCUUUUUCUUCCUAUCACUGCAUAACCAGUGGAUCUCCCUAGCAUAACCCAUGAGCGUUUUUCUUCCUAUUGCGUCAUAACCCGUGGAUCCCCCUGGCAUAACCCAGGAGAAUUUCCUUCCCAUCUCGGCAUAACCUGCGAAUCCCCAUGGCAUAACCAGGAGCAUUUUUCUUCCCAUCUAGGCAUAACCCGCGGAUCCCC
rnacentral:lncRNA from 1 species